GAUAUCAACAGGCGUGAACAAUGUUGUGCGGCCAACUAUGAACAAGUUGUCAACCAUGUUGUUUUGUUCCAAGUUGUUACAGUUGAACAACGCUGUAACAACGUGUUGACAACACUGUUCAUAGUGGGUCGCACAACCUUGUUCACGCCUGUUGAUAUC